rnacentral:rRNA from 1 species
UACGAAGGGGGCUAGCGUUGCUCGGAAUUACUGGGCGUAAAGCGCACGUAGGCGGCUUUCUAAGUCGGGGGUGAAAUCCUGGAGCUCAACUCCAGAACUGCCUUCGAUACUGGAGAGCUUGAGUCCGGGAGAGGUGAGUGGAACUGCGAGUGUAGAGGUGAAAUUCGUAGAUAUUCGCAAGAACACCAGUGGCGAAGGCGGCUCACUGGCCCGGUACUGACGCUGAGGUGCAAAAGCGUGGGGAGCAAACAGG